GACGAACGCUGGCGGCGUGCUUAACACAUGCAAGUCGAACGGAAAGGCCCUGCUUUUGUGGGGUGCUCGAGUGGCGAACGGGUGAGUAACACGUGAGUAACCUGCCCUUGACUUUGGGAUAACUUCAGGAAACUGGGGCUAAUACCGGAUAGGAGCUCCUGCUGCAUGGUGGGGGUUGGAAAGUUUCGGCGGUUGGGGAUGGACUCGCGGCUUAUCAGCUUGUUGGUGGGGUAGUGGCUUACCAAGGCUUUGACGGGUAGCCGGCCUGAGAGGGUGACCGGCCACAUUGGGACUGAGAUACGGCCCAGACUCCUACGGGAGGCAGCAGUGGGGAAUGUUGCACAAUGGGCGGAAGCCUGAUGCAGCAACGCCGCGUGCGGGAUGACGGCCUUCGGGUUGUAAACCGCUUUCGCCUGUGACGAAGCGUGAGUGACGGUAAUGGGUAAAGAAGCACCGGCUAACUACGUG
rnacentral:rRNA from 1 species